rnacentral:lncRNA from 1 species
UCCACCAACACAACCAUUCACCAACAGUUCACAAAGUCCGGAAGUCACCAAUAGUUUAAAAAAAUCCGAAAAUCACCAACAGUUUCCACGUUUCCCGAACAGUCAUAAACAGUUU